rnacentral:rRNA from 1 species
UACGUAGGGUGCAAGCGUUAAUCGGAAUUACUGGGCGUAAAGCGUGCGCAGGCGGUUUUGUAAGACAGAGGUGAAAUCCCCGGGCUCAACCUGGGAACUGCCUUUGUGACUGCAAGGCUUGAGUGCGGCAGAGGGGGAUGGAAUUCUAUGUGUAGCAGUAAAAUGCAUAAAUAUAUAGAGGAACACCAAUUGGCGAAGGCAGUUAACUAUUUGAGUCCUGACGUUGAGGCACGAAAGCGUGGGGAGCAAGACGG